GUGUAUGGUGAGCGCGCGCCUCCUAGCCACGUGAUGAUCCACGUCAAUUAAUGAGAUCACAUCAGACGCUCCACGUUUUUUCAUUAUUUUUAUUUCUGAUUUUUAUUUCCUUUUAUUUCUUUUAAUUCCAUUUCAUUUUAAAAAUUCAUCUCUCCUUCAUUAUUGGUCCAAAAAAUGUGAGACCAAUUGCAUUUUUCUCCUUUUAAUUUCUAGUUUUUAAAAAUGAUUUUUAA
rnacentral:lncRNA from 1 species